rnacentral:lncRNA from 1 species
GGCAGACCAAGUAUGAAUAAUCAUGGGAUAAUGUCUGAUGGCCCAAGUGGGCCCAGCUUGCUGAAUGAUGUGAUGCUGGUCAAUAAUGCAGGCCCGAGUAGUGGGCUUCCACAAAUACAUAACAAUGCCAGCGGAUUAGAAGCUUAACACGACAACCCCCCUCAUACUCCUCAUGUACACGACCAUGAUCAAACAAAUAUUCAUGAGGUAAGUACUCAUUCAGAUAUUACUAAAUCAUCUUAUGUGUUACCUCCUCGACAAAAUCAAGGAAA